CCUACGGGCGGCAGCAGUGGGGAAUAUUGCACAAUGGGGGAAACCCUGAUGCAGCGACGCCGCGUGAGUGAAGAAGUAUUUCGGUAUGUAAAGCUCUAUCAGCAGGGAAGAAAAUGACGGUACCUGAUUAAGAAGCCCCGGCUAACUACGUGCCAGCAGCCGCGGUAAUACGUAGGGGGCAAGCGUUAUCCGGAUUUACUGGGUGUAAAGGGAGCGUAGACGGCAGCGCAAGUCUGGAGUGAAAUGCCUGGGCUUAACCCCGGAACUGCUUUGGAAACUGUGCAGCUAGAGUGCAGGAGAGGUAAGUGGAAUUCCUAGUGUAGCGGUGAAAUGCGUAGAUAUUAGGAGGAACACCAGUGGCGAAGGCGGAUUACUGGACUGUAACUGACGUUGAGGCACGAAAGCGUGGGGAGCAAACAGGAUUAGAUACCCUGGUAGUC
rnacentral:rRNA from 1 species